CGGCCAUGUCAAACAGCUGGAGAGAAUUCUCUGAGGGCUUCACUCCAAGCGAGAGUCAUCAGCAUAAAAAAUUGGAUGGCUUUGAUCCCAGGUCGUCAGUUCCUAAACCAUGUGCAUGCAGUGUCCCAGUCAAGCCGUUAUCAGACAGGCCACAUGUGCCUGAGUCAUAGCGGGUGAAGCAACUACUAGAUACAGAUGAGUAAAUGAUUCAAACUUUUCUCAUCUUCUUCCCCUGCACUUUAAGGCUACGUGGGUGAGGAGAGAAGAAAUAAUUUGUGGCUUUGCAUUAGUUUCUGCAAACAGCCCAAGGACUGAAACCGCUUCAUCCAAUCUUUACUCCUCUGUGAAUGUAGAGACAUAGAUGUCAGGAUUGUCUGAGGACUCUCACAGAAACUCGGGGUUCCUUCCAAUUUACUUAAUUCCUGGGAUGACUCUGCAUUAUUAGGGCUUCACUAUGAAACCAG
ensembl:lncRNA